AAGUCGUAACGAGGUUUCCGUAGGUGAACCUGCGGAAGGAUCGUUACAGAGUUGUCGACACGAGUUGUUGCUGGUCCUCAAAUGGGGGCAUGUGCACGCUCUGUUCACACAUCCACUCACACCUGUGCACCCUCUUGUAGUUCUAGUGUGGCUGGGACCGCAUCCGUCCUUCGUCCGUGUCUAUGUCUUUACACAUACACCGUAGCGAAGUCUUAUGGAAUGUACUCUGCGUUUAACGCGAUAUAAUACAA
rnacentral:misc_RNA from 1 species